rnacentral:lncRNA from 1 species
GUCUGCGGCGGCUGCGGCGCGUCUUCUCUCAGGCGGCCCAGGGCUCGCACCGCCGACUCUCCGCUCGCUCGCCGCCAGCCGCGACGCCCCCGCCGAGCCCCGCCUCAGCCAGCCGGCGGCGGGCAAGGAAGGAGCCGCUCAUUUUUGGGGCGAUAAUUGUUUAUAGAAGUGAAGAGUUUCUGAAGAAGGUAACAAACAAGAAAAGGAAAAUGCCGAAACCAAUAAAUGUAAGAGUAACUACAAUGGAUGCUGAACUAGAGUUUGCCAUUCAGCCCAAUACAACUGGCAAACAACUUUUUGACCAGGUUGUAAAAACAGUUGGUUUACGUGAGGUCUGGUUUUUUGGGCUGCAAUAUGUAGACAGCAAAGGAUAUUCCACAUGGCUUAAACUGAAUAAAAAGGUAACACAGCAAGAUGUUAAAAAAGAAAAUCCUUUACAGUUCAAGUUUAGAGCUAAAUUCUUUCCUGAAGAUGUUUCUGAGGAAUUGAUUCAAGAAAUAACACAGAGACUUUUCUUCUUGCAAGUUAAAGAAGCCAUCUUAAAUGAUGAGAUAUAUUGCCCACCAGAAACUGCAGUUCUUUUGGCUUCGUAUGCUGUUCAAGCCAAGUAUGGAGAUUAUAAUAAAGAGAUUCAUAAACCAGGCUAUCUGGCUAAUGACAGACUCCUACCACAGCGUGUUUUGGAACAACAUAAACUGACCAAAGAGCAGUGGGAGGAGAGAAUACAGAACUGGCAUGAAGAACACAGGGGGAUGCUAAGGGAAGAUUCAAUGAUGGAAUACUUGAAGAUUGCACAAGAUCUAGAGAUGUAUGGUGUCAACUACUUUGAAAUCAAGAAUAAGAAGGGUACUGAGCUGUGGCUGGGCGUUGAUGCUUUGGGUCUGAAUAUUUAUGAGCAUGAUGACAAGUAAGUAACUGGGUGUUGGUGAGUUCAUUGUUCAUCUGACCAGCGACUUUCAGACACGCUCUGCUUGUGAGAGUCACUUUGUCUUUUAUUUUUAGGAUUUUGUUUUCUAUGCACCUCGUCUGAGAAUCAAUAAGCGAAUUUUGGCCUUAUGUAUGGGAAACCAUGAGCUGUACAUGCGAAGGAGAAAGCCUGAUACUAUUGAAGUACAGCAGAUGAAGGCUCAGGCCCGGGAGGAGAAACACCAGAAGCAGCUAGAACGGGCACAAUUAGAGAAUGAAAAGAAGAAACGAGAAAUAGCAGAAAAGGAAAAGGAAAGAAUAGAACGGGAAAAGGAAGAGCUGAUGGAACGUCUAAGGCAAAUUGAAGAGCAGACAAUGAAAGCCCAGAAAGAACUAGAAGAACAGACUCGGAAAGCCCUGGAACUGGAGCAGGAGCGCCAGCGAGCAAAAGAGGAGGCAGAGCGGCUAGACAGGGAGCGCCGGGCUGCGGAAGAGGCCAAGUCCGCAAUAGCCAAGCAAGCUGCUGACCAAAUGAAGAACCAGGAGCAGCUGGCAGCAGAACUUGCCGAAUUCACUGCCAAGAUUGCACUUUUAGAAGAAGCCAAGAAGAAAAAGGAAGAGGAAGCUACGGAGUGGCAGCAUAAAGCUUUUGCAGCUCAGGAAGACUUGGAAAAGACCAAAGAAGAGUUAAAAACUGUGAUGUGUGCGCCCCCUCCGCCGCCCCCUCCCGCAGUCGUCCCUCCCACAGAGAACGAGCAUGAUGAGCAGGACGAGCACAGUGCCGAGGCCAGCGCCGAGCUGUCCAGUGAGGGCGUGACGAACCACAGGAGCGAGGAGGAGCGGGUGACGGAGACCCAGAAGAACGAACGCGUGAAGAAGCAGCUCCAGGCAUUAAGUUCAGAAUUAGCCCAAGCGAGAGAUGAAACCAAGAAGACACAGAAUGAUGUUCUCCAUGCUGAGAACGUCAAGGCAGGCCGUGAUAAGUACAAGACUCUGCGGCAGAUUCGACAAGGCAACACCAAGCAGCGCAUCGAUGAGUUUGAAGCAAUGUGAGAGCCGUUCUUGUGAUCCAUGUCCUCCCUGAGCUGAACCACAGCAGAGAAAAGCAGGCCUGUGCGGGUGCAGUGCGAUGCAUCCCGCCUUGCCAAAGCACUCAGACAGUUGACUGUGCUCACUAGCAGAACCCGAGGGGCGCGCUUCAGCAUUAAGCAGCAGUGUGAUGUCAUGUGUGGUCACUUUUCUUUUGUCCAGGGAAUGGAUAAUGGCAUUCUGUCACCUUUUUGUACAUUUUUCACUUUUUGUUUCCUCUUUCUCGGUUGACUAUUAACACUAAUGACCAUGUCUGACAAAUGUGUGUGUGCUUUGAGCACUGUGUACAUUUUAGGAUAAUGGUGGACAUUUCAGUGCAUGUUUAGUUAAUGAACUCCAUUUUCUUUGCCCUUUCCAUGUUGUAGGCUACAUACAUCUCCAUGUUCAUUCUCAUGUUUUGUCAGUGUGGCCUUCUCAUGCCUUGUCAUGCUAGAGCUGUAAUUCUGGUGUCACACAGAUCACUUACUGGAGGUUUUUAAAAUGAGAUAGCGGGGCAAACAGACAGACAUGAGGCUACAUCACAAGGCAAUUAGAAGGUUGGACAGCAGAGUAUGCAGCGGUGGUUAAUUAUUACAGAGAUCCCUUACCUGAUUGAAUGUUUGCUUUACUUAAGUACAGUCAUCUCUGAUAAGUUGAGUGAUGGUGUCUCACAUCCUGUAGUCCUCUGGUGGCUUUCCUUGCCUGUCACUUUAGAGACAUAGCCACUAGGCAGUUUUUUCUAGGAAAAUUAUUGAUGAAACACUGCCUGCAAGUACGUGAUCUCUGAAAAAAAUUCAAGUUUUGUUCUUAGGUUGAUUAGAAACACAGAUGUCCAACAGAAGAUAACUGUUGAUGAUAGCUGAUUCCGAUUGUUGAAGGGGAAAAAACCAACCAAACCUUGGCCUUUCUGCAAGGGUGGCAUAUGGAUCAGUUCCAAGAACAUACUACUACCUCACUCCACACAUGGUGACUGCUCACCCAGUCUGUGUGCUGCAUGUCUGUUACCCAUGGGCAGUCUCAAUCAUGUCUCUCAUUGAAUAUAGGUUUGAGAUUCCAGUGCUUAUGUUCUAACUGCCUCUUUGUUGACUUGUGGGGCUCUGAUUCGUGUUUAGAUUGUAUAUUCUCACUGGUAAAUGCUGUUCCCUGAGGGUGUUCUGUGUCUGAGGAAGUGACCCUUUGUGAGAAAGACAUUGCCUUUGCAGCACGUGAAGCAUUCCCACUCUUCAUUCUUGAUGGGAUGGGUAACACCAUUUUAGCAUAUUUGGUUUCUAAAUCACUGCCUAUUUUCUUUGCAAUCUCUAAAAGCAAAUUUUAUUUCAAUUAUGUCUUACUGAAGAAGUCUUUUCCAGCUAGAAAGAUGCUCUUACAUUCUCUGAUCAUGAAGCCCCUGAAUUUGAAGCUCCAGAAAGCCUUGUUUUCUCUGUGUGGUUCAGCUCCUUUCCAUUUGGUAUUAUGCACUCAGACUUAACACUUACCGAUUACAAUUACAUUUUAUUAAGCAGUUUUCACGCACAGUAGAUUCAACUUGGUUUUGUGCUUUUUUUUUUUUUAAUUUUGAUUUUUUUUGCUGACUUAAAAAGGAUUAAUUUGGGCAAACAUUAUAAAAAAGAAAGGGUUAAUAUAUUUUUUGGACUCUGUAGGACAAAAGACAACUGGUUAACCUUGAAGUGACUGUUGUACAGUGGUUGUGCACAUGCUUCAAAAUCAGCGAGGGAAUUGCCUUCCACAUGUGAGAGGGAGAGACGGUCAGCCUUACCACUCAGACUUUGAAGUAUGAGUGUUCACUUUUCCAAAGCAUCAGAGUAAUAGUCCUUAUUGCUAAAAGAAUCGACUUCCCUCGGGUUUUACUGUUUUCUUUUCUAUUUGCAUUGUGUACAUUAUCGCUGCACCAGUUGUUACAGUGUUGAGAGGCUACCAGUUAUAUUUGCUGUUAAUAGUCUAUUUGUAGGUUAGGAUUAAAGUGGGUUUAGUCCAUUUUUAUAGCUAUAUGAAUUUUUCUAAACAGGGACAGCCAUUUGCAAAAUGGGUUUUCAUAGUGAUCGAAUCAGUUAUAACGUUUAUCAUUAGCAGUUGAGAGCACAUGUUCAUAUAGCAAUGUGAAAACACACUAAUGAGUAUUUGGUAAUUUCCCAUUAGCAUAAUUUCAUGUUGUACAAGUAAAUUACAAUUACAUCUCUAAUUUUGGAUAAUAUUCAUUGGUUAACAAUAAAGUGACAAAAGCUC